ACCCGCNUGGNUUAAGCAUUUCAAUAAGCGGAGGAAAAGAAACUAACAAGGAUUCCCCUAGUAACUGCGAGUGAAGCGGGAAAAGCUCAAAUUUAAAAUCUGGCGGUCUUGCGGCCGUCCGAGUUGUAAUCUGGAGAAGCGUCUAUCCGCGCCGGACCGUGUACAAGUCUUCUGGAAGGGAGCGUCGUAGAGGGUGAGAAUCCCGUCUUUGACACGGACAACCGGUGCUUUUGUGAUGCGCUCUCGAAGAGUCGAGUUGUUUGGGAAUGCAGCUCAAAAUGGGUGGUAAAUUCCAUCUAAAGCUAAAUAUUGGCGAGAGACCGAUAGCGAACAAGUACCGUGAGGGAAAGAUGAAAAGCACUUUGGAAAGAGAGUUAAACAGUACGUGAAAUUGUUGAAAGGGAAACGUUUGAAGUCAGUCGCGUCGGCCGAGACUCAACCUGGCUUCUGCUCGGUGCACUUCUCGGUUGACGGGUCAGCAUCAAUUUUGACCGCCGGAUAAAGGUUGGGGGAAUGUGGCAUCCUUCGGGAUGUGUUAUAGACCUCGAUUCGGAUACGGCGAUUGGGAUUGAGGAACUCGGCGCUCUGCGUCCAGGAUGCUGGCAUAAUGGCUUUAAGCGACCCGUCUGNAAAACACGGAA
rnacentral:rRNA from 1 species